GAAUACAAAGUCAUUCUUGUUCACAAUCAAAGUUUCCUCCUUCACUUUAUCGCACCCUACACAUUUCCCUGCAUCUUGAUUUCUAGUGUCAUUUUGCUUUGUCACCUGCGCGUCUCCUGAAACCUUCUUUGCUGCUUCUGCGUAGCUUAUUCCCUGAGUAGCCUUGACUCGCUGCACCUCUGCCGCUCUUUUACUAACUUCGCAUCCGCGGUAAGCUGAGCUAUGUUCUCCUCCACAAUUACAACACUUCAGCUUUGUCCCCUCUGCACAUUUGCCAUACUCGUGGUUUCCACCGCAUCUACCACACGUUUGCUUUCCCUUGCACACGGAUGCUACGUGUCCGAACCUCUGACAUUUAAAACAUCUGAGAGGUGGGGGAACAUACGGCCUCACAUCAUAACAUAUAUAUCCAAUAAAGAUCUUUUCCGGGAGUCUUUCCUCAUCAAAUGUGAUCAGUACAGAGAGACUGUCACUUUUAAUCCCAUUUCUGCUUGCUUUAAGACAUCUGACUUCACUCACUUUGGCAUUUGUUACAUUUCCUUUAACAUCAUCUGCUGUUACAUUUACCGGAACCCCUGUAAAACUCCCCUGACCAAUUUUCUGUCAGUCGUCAGAGAACAUUGUACUUUCUUGCCAUUUAUUUUAUUCAUUCUGUUUGCUUUUCCUUGUUGUACUUCAUCCUUACAUAUAAUUAGUAAUGAUCCAUUUCGCAAUAUUUUAGCACUCCUUACCUCCCCGAUUUCUUUACUUAUGGAUUUAGUUAGCUGUAUUGGAUUCCAAUCGCAGAAUGAAGCCCCAUCUUGCACAAGUUUUACUAUUGCCUUGAAAUCCUCUCUCCUCCUUUCAGUUACAGUUGCUCUCCCGUCACUAUCACUCCCAUCCGAUCUUAGGCUCUUUUUACGCUUAUUUUUCCUACCUGCUAUAUUCCACUUUUCAUAACUCCCGCCACCUUCGACCAUCUCUCCUAACUCACUUCCUGAACCGUCACUUCCUUCUGCCAUCUCUCGUCCACCAACCAAACCGCUCCCCAAAAACCUCCAGGAGCCAGUCUUCUUACUGCAUUGUUAACCACAGCUGUGUUUACAAAUGUGUUGCAGCUGAUUGGGUAACACCUCUGACACGCCCACCAAACGGGGAAGCUCUUUGUCCAAGUUGCACAAUGUUGAUUGAAAAACUGUUAAUUAAUAACUAAUUAAAAAAGUUAGAGAGAACCCAGCUUUCUUCGCAGUGCUGUGAAAGUGUUUUUCUGUUCUGUGACUUUAUUUUAUAACUGUACACUGGGAUGACCGGAGGCAGUAUGUGGAGUCAGUUUGCCGCAUUCCUGUUAUGGUAACGUUAGCAACCGAUGGUUAACAUAACGUAUGCCUAUCACCAGUGGCUGAAACCUUUCCAGACAGUCGUCAACACAUAUGAUUUUUCAUCUGAGGCUGCUCCUUGUUACCUGCGCUUUGGUCUGAUCUGUCCUUUCAAGUGGUACCUGAGAGCUGAGUUUCCUCGAGCUUCAAAGACAUUUCGGAUCAAACAGAGUAUUGAGUGGCACUACAGCUAUCCAAGUCAGCCAUCCUGCUUAAAACAACUUGAGAGAGACACACCACAACUGAUUGCCCUGUACAGGCAGAAGGUUCAAGAGAGCAGAGGACCUGCAGAGAUCCUCAGGAUUUAUGACCUUCAGGAACAACACGAGGUACACAUGAGAUGCCAUCCAACCCUCCGUGGCCUCCCAGUGAACCUGCUAGCGGAUGACUGAUGUCUUCAAAACCUGCAAUUGCAAAGAUGAACCAGACAUUGCUGAACCUCCUCAUUGUGGUCACUGAUGCUCCUGGUGCAGUCCGCUUCAGCCAAAGUGAAAGGGCUUCUCAGUGCCAAGACAGACCACAAAGUCGUAACAGAGGUGGUUCAGGAGGGAAACAACUUCACCUGGACACAAAGCAUCCCCAACUGGACCUGGUCCAAUAAGUUCAGCAUUGGUCAGGAAUGUGAGUUGUCGA